CUUCCUCUGCUUGUUGUGGCCUAAACACCUCUCUUAUAUCGGUUUCAUCUCAAGAGCAGUGUAAAGCAAGACUGCAUCAUGUUGAAGAUCUUGCCGCUUCAGCUCUAUCUACUAACAUGGUGUCAAGCUGCAGAGAUUUUAACAGAUUUGGGUCAAAAUGUGACCAUAAACUGUGAUCUUGAUUUAAAUGAGGUGACAUGGUUGAUAAUAAAUUCAACACAUCCUCCAAUUCUGAUAUUACGCUCCUUUUCAAACCUAGCAGCAACAUUUUACUUCAAUAAUAUAUUCAGACAGAAAUAUUCAGUGCAGCCUAAACAUAAUCUGUUCAUAAAUAAUGUCAGCAUUGAUGAGAUAGGGUUAGUUUAUUACUGUACAAACAUAGUCAAAUCUGCAAAAUUCAGCAAUGGCAGCCGACUUGUCCAGACCCCAUGGAUCACACCGAUCACUGUCCCAACUCAACCUUCAGAGUGUCAGAAUCACACUGUAGUAGUGCAGCCCACAGAGCCGACAUAGUGGCAGAUGGUUACUGUCAUACUUGCUCUGAUGAGUGUUGUUCUGGUAUUUGGGUUCAUAGCAUCCUUUGGCUUUUUUAUGUUUGUUGCUGGUCGCAGUAACAAACACCCACAACGACGAAGAAACUGACCUUCUGCAGCUUAACUGAUAGAUCCUGGAUACGCUGAGCUGAUGUCUCUUUUGGGAGGUGUCCAGACAACUGGAAAAAAAAUUAAAUAUGUCC